rnacentral:misc_RNA from 1 species
GAUGAAGAACGUAGCGAAAUGCGAUAAGUAAUGUGAAUUGCAGAAUUCAGUGAAUCAUCGAAUCUUUGAACGCACCUUGCGCCCUUUGGCCAUUCCGAAGGACAUGCCUGUUUGAGUAUCAUGAACACCUCAACUCUCAUGGCUCGCCAUGAUGAGCUUGGAUUUGGGGGUCUUGCUGGCCUGUGGUCGGCUCCUCUCAAAUGGAUCAGCUUGCCAGUGUUUGGUGGCAUCACAGGUGUGAUAACUAUCUGCGCUUGUGGUUUUCCAUCAGAUAACCUUCAGUGAUGGAGGUUCGCUGGAGCUCAUAAACGUCUCCCCUAAGCGGGGACAGCCCUUUGAAUGUUUGAUCUCAAAUCAGGUAGGACUACCCGCUGAACUUAAGCAUAUCAAUAAGCGGAGGA